rnacentral:lncRNA from 1 species
UAGAUGGCCCAGCAAAGACUUGUUUAACAAACAUUUGCAUUUCCAUCUCCAUGUAAAUUGUCGUCCUCCUCUCUGAAGUUCCAAACCACUGCCUCCAGCAUCCUCCUUUGUCUUAGCUGAAGAUGGUAUUUAAGGUGGCAGCUUCGGCCAUUCUGGCCACACCUGAGAUGAAUUAAUCAGCAUCUCUCAGGCUUGAACCCAGGCCUCACAUGGUUCCUCAGACUCCCUAGGUGGUUCCAAUGUGCAUCUGAGUUUGAGAACCACAAGACCCAUCAGCUUUAUAAGGUAAAGGUAAAGCAAGAAUAAGCUUGAAUGCCCUGCCCAUUCUCCAAGGACCCCGUGGAGGAAAGAAGUGGAGAGUCACCUGCUGAAGUGAGGAGCAAGGAACUGCUGUUUUCACCCCUGCGGGGAAGGAAGCUGCUGAAAGGCGUAUACCACCGAAAAGAAUCAGUGAGCAAGAAAGAAGACAAGCGGGGGGUCAGGAAGGAGUGCCUUCAACACGAGGCCUCCCUCCCUCCAGGCUCCUUGGUGGAAGAGAGGAACAGCAGGAGGCAACCAGAACUAUCAAGCAUCACAGACUGCAUGCAGCUUCUCAUCCUUUUUCAGAGCACAGUAUCAACAUUUAUUUUUGUACAAGUUUCAACUGGCUGCUGAGAACAGGGAAAUAGCUGUAUAACCCAGGAGUUUUACUCACCACAGAACUCAGUCCCUAGAACUGCAGGACACUUCAUAUGCCAGGUUUACGAAUGGCAGUGGCUUCCCAGAGCCUAGGAUUUCUCCAUCCCUGUGGGUUUCCCUCAAUUCUGCUAAACCUUUGUACCACUCGGUCAAGACGCUGCUUCCGUGGCAACAUGUGAUGUGACA